rnacentral:rRNA from 1 species
GUGAAUCAUCGAGUCUUUGAACGCAUCUUGCGCUCUCGGGUUAUUCCUGAGAGCAUGCUUGUUGGAGUGUCGCGAAACUCUCAACCCCGCUCAAUCUGUUUGGAUUGGGUUGUUUGGGCUUGGAUCAUGACCUUCGCCGAGUCGUUUACGACUGGGCCGGGUUGAAAUGCAUCAAGCUGAAUCAUAACGUGCGGCUUGACCUGUUGUUGUAAGCAUCCACUUUCAAUAGGAACGCAUGAUUUGAACGAGCUUUUCAAACGGAUGAACUCUGAUUGAAGUCCUUCGGGGCUUCGACCAGUGCAUUCUGACCUCCAAUCAAGUAGGACUACCCGCUGAACUUAA